AUCCAUAAAUCAAAUAAACCUAAAGUAUAUAUAGGUGGUUUCUUAGGCUAGGUCAUAUAGGAGAAGAAAUGAUUUACUGACAAGACUAACAUGAGCUUUUGGGCUUAUUGACUGUUGAGUCAUAUCUAGUCUGUGAAUCAUCUCUUUAAAGAUUAAUGAUCAUGCUGUCCUUUGUAAGAUCCGGGGAUAGGACCGUUAAGGCAUUUGCCCUGGUACAUAUUUAAUGUGUGGUCCAUUUGAUGAGCCAGAUAAGGAGGAUUAUCUCCACUUCAUUAUCUUUACUGAUGAUCAGUCAUGAUAUGGAUAUAUGUAUGAGAUACAAAUUUGAAGUCUUUGAAAGAUUCAAAGGAUUCAGAUGUGAAGU
rnacentral:lncRNA from 1 species